rnacentral:lncRNA from 1 species
AUUUCACUAUUUUGUGCCUGUCAAUAAAGUGAAACGCAAAUGCAUUGUAUAGCAAAGUAAUAUUUAAAUAAAUAUUAUCUCCUUAUAUAAUAUAAAACUAAAAACUUAUCAAAAUAUCUAAGUAAUAUAUACGUGCUACAGAAAAGAAGAAAAUUUUAUUUAGGGGUAAACCUAGAAAAGGAGAGAAUUUUAUUUAGGGAUAGAGCUAGAAAAUUUCAUCAUCGGUGUCGAAAUACACUAAUCUUGUUUAAUUUGUAAUGUAAUCAUAACUACUAAAAUCAUUUAAACAUGUAUUUCGUGGGAGGUCAUUAGGGUCACCUAACCCCGAGAAAAUACUCUAGCUCCUCUUCAACUUUGUUAGCAUUCUUAAUCCAACAUGUUAAACAAAAUUAAGGAUAUUUUAUAU